GAUGGAGGAAAAGAACUGCAGGGAAGUAGAGAGGAAUAUAGAGAUAAAAGCCUACGAAUUUUUCAGGGCAGAUACUGUAACACCAAGAGCUUUGGUAAAGGAACAUGUUGUGCAAUCCUUGCACAGAUUAACAUGAAAAAUAGCACAGAAACAGAUAUUGUGCACUGCCCUCCAAGUUUUACUGCCUUGUGAAAGUCAUGCACUGUGCUCAAGAGCUACUGCCAGCAUCUUCAUGAUGACCUGUUUGUACUUUAACUGACACAGAACGUUAAGCUGAAGCAGUAAAAAAAAAAAUCAAGAAAAAGAUAAUACAGCUUGUACAUCGGGAGAAUCAUAAGACCACAGGCUAAUUUUCAAAGUGUGUGGCUGACUCUGAGUUGCUGCUGAUGCUUAAGCGCUGAAGUUGUGGAGGUAGUGCUUAAACACUAUGGCUCUUUGUCCUCCUGAUGGAAAAAUCCAGAUGGAAAGAAGUGUGGUUCACAAGGAAAUGAUCAUGGGCCUAUUUUUUCUUGGAGUUGAGUUUUAAGAGAUGGAAUGAGCAGAAUGGACAACAAAUUAGGAAUGUAUCCUAGAGAAGUGUCUAACACAUUUGUUGCCUUCAUUUAACCAAAUGAUCAAGGAAUGACUGGAGUAUACAAAAUCCAGAAACUUU